GUCAGAAGACAAUCUGAAGGAGUGGAUUCUCUUCCUCCACCAUGUGAAGCUUGGAAAUUGAUCUCAAGUCUUCAGACUUGGCAGCAAGUGCUUUUAACCACUGAUCCAUCCCAUCUGUCAGAAAUGUGUCAUUCUGAAGAUGUCCCCCUGGCCCACCGAGAAGCAUGAGUUAGCAAAACUAUUACUGGACCACCGGGUUUCCUCUUGUGACACAGACAAGGACCGAGGUGCCCAUUGCAGCGUGGAAAGAGCAGAGCUGUGACUAAUUCCCUGGCACUCUCUGCCAGCCAAGGUCAAUGCUUACCAGCUCUCCAUUUCGUGAAGAAGCCCGGAAGAUAGGCCAGCAGCACUCAGUAGGACCUCAUUCCUGGGGCAUGGGAUGAGUCCACCCCACCGUGGCCAGAGGUGACCAAUCUCUGGAACGAGGUGUGAAGAAUACUCAUUCAGCUGAUUUAGGGAGACAGACCUCUUGGAGGAGUGGGUGUCACUGGAUCUGAGGACUCUGCAAGACAGAACGUUUGGGUUUCCAGCCUUGGGCUUGUUCAUCCUUGCCCAUGUCUCUUCUCUCUCUACCCUCCCCGUCUUCUACUCUAUCCCCUCUUUCCACAUGUGAUAAGCAGAGAAAACAAAACAAAGCUGCAAACCGAGUCUGCAUCGUGAAUCCAUUGCUUUCCAGCUGUGGAAUCUUCCUUAAGGAAGAUACACCUUGGGUCCUCCUCAGUCUUCAUCCGUAAACUAAAGUAUCGAGGUUUAACCUUGUCUGGGAGACAUUAAGCGUGGCUUAGGAAAGGAAUUUUCACCUCAGGUCUGCCCUGUGGGGUUGUGAUGAAGACUCUGUGAUGGAGACUGCUAGUGAGCUCUAUGUGUCUGCCAAACCCAGUCCCAGGUGUUUUAGCUGCAGGUGAUGCUGCAGGUACUGUAUAGGCCUCAGGUCAUAGUGGGAACUGCAGUCGAGAGCAUUCAGAAUAUGCUGAGGCCCAUGCAGGCAGGUGUCAGGACCUAGGACAGUCCUGCCUUGCUGGUACCUUGUUCCACCUGCUGUUGGCUUUCUUGGUCUGAGCUUCCUUCAGGACCACGUGGGAGCCAGACUCCAGUUAAAGGUAGAGUCCUUGGUCAGCAGAGAUGUUGGCACUGUUGGAUUUUCCUGUUUUCUAUUUUUUGUGUCUUCCAAAAGUUCUGCCUUGCACCACACUGGUUUUUGGG